UACGUAGGGUGCAAGCGUUGUCCGGAAUUAUUGGGCGUAAAGGGCUCGUAGGCGGUCCAUCGCGUCGGGAGUGAAAAGCUGGGGCUUAACCCCAGUCCUGCUUCCGAUACGGGUGGACUAGAGGUAGGUAGGGGAGAACGGAAUUCCUGGUGUAGCGGUGAAAUGCGCAGAUAUCAGGAGGAACACCGGUGGCGAAGGCGGUUCUCUGGGCCUUACCUGACGCUGAGGAGCGAAAGCAUGGGGAGCGAACGGG
rnacentral:rRNA from 1 species